GCUUGGGUAUGUCCUUAUCAGCAGCAUGAAAAUGGACUAAUACAAAUAUGCUGAGUUAAGUCCUGGACAAGUUUAGAUCAGGGGUCCAGAACCCCCAGCCAUGGACCACUACUGAUUUGUGGCCUGUUAGGAACUCAGUUGCAGUAGGAGGUGAAUGGCAGAUGGAACUGUGCAGUUGCAGGAAAACAAGCUCAGGGCUCCCGCUGAUUCUACAUUUUGGUGAGUUGUAUAAUUAUUUCAUUUUAUAUUGCAAUGUAAUAAUAAUAGAAAUAAAGUACAAAAUAAAUGUAAUGCACUCGAAUUAUCCCAAAACCAUUCCCCCCACUGCGCCCAGUCUGUGGAAAAAUUGUCUUCCAUGAAACCAGUCCCUGGUGCCAAAAAGUCGGGGGGCUGCUGAUUUAGAUCACAUUGGUUUCAAGUAAUGAGGAUUAAACUAAGUAAGCCAAAGGAGAGCAUUUAUUUUAAAUAUACAUGAAUAUAAUAUUAACCCCAAAGAGAAGGGAAGAUAAGAAAACAGCAACUGAAAAGUCUUCAGAAUUUUUUUCUUCAAUUAUAUAUUCCUCUGAGAAUUUGUUUCAUUUGUCACUGUCAUUGCUAUCACUGUUCUCUGAAGACUGACUCUCUUGCUAUUUAUUUUGUAAAAAUAUGGCUUCCUAAUAUACUUCUUUUCAUAUUGAGAUGAGAGGUUUUCCUGACUACCUCUCUUGCAGAACAUGUGACAGGGAUAUGCUUCACCUGUUCAGCCUCCGUGUGCACUCAAACCCUUUACAAGAAGGGGAGCACAGAGAUGGGUAAGGUGCAGGAGCUGGGGAAAGUGCCCCAGUGCUCCUGGGUGCCAGCCCUGUGGCAGCAUCCAGGAGUGGGAGCCCAUGACCCCCAAAGCCCACGUGGGCAUGUGUUACAGGGUGUUUUUUAAGCCUUACUUUCUGUGGACAGCUUAAGUGUUAAACAGCUCAGUGCCUUCUUGGUACCCAGGUCCUUGUCCAGCAUCCAAGAAGAACUGGGUUACAAAUGGACUUAAAGGAUGAAUGUGGUGGUUUUACUCAGUGCUGGAGGUGACUCUCAGCAGGAUGGAUGGGGAGAUGGAAGGGGUUUGGAGUGGAAAGAUGAUCUUCACCUGGAGUUUGGCCAUGGAGCCGCCAAUCUCCUCUCUGAUCAUCCCCAGCGAAACUCCUCUUGGUAUUCAGCCACUCCUUCUCUUCUUUCCUUCUCUGCCAUGCUGUUCUGCAAUUCUUCGCUUUUCUGUUCAUCUCCUCAUCUGCUUCUGGAGCCUGGGGUCUGGGGUUUUUAUGGGUACAGGAUAGCGGGGGUGUGUUGGGUCAAAAGGCAGCUUUUGGAUGCAAAAACAGAAAUGCCUCUUCUCACUUCAGGCCAUGGGUUUUCAGGCUUGAGGGUGGUGCCUUUUCUGAGGAACUGCCCUCUUCUACACAGUAUUUCCUCUCUCCUGUCCGUGUCAACAUGCAGACACUGAAGAGCUAUAAAAUCCAUGUACAAAUGUCUGGGAGAGAGAAUCUUGUUGGCCUAUCUUGAGUUGGUAUCUGUUUCCUUGGGUAUUCAAUGAAAACUGAGUGACAAAGUAUAAUUCCGGCUACCAGGAGCUAGCCCUGUGAAUCAGAAAUCCAUUAAAAGUGUUUAACAGAAACUGGGCAAAUGCUUCCCUCCUCCACAUCAAAAAUAAAUUGGAACCUUUGGCAGAAACUACUAAUUAACUAUCACCCACACCCUGGGCACAUAGAGUAAAACACUACUCCUUCUACAACAAAGAGGAUUAAUUUUCCCGUAUUAAAAGGUGUAUAUUCUUUUCCAGCAAAGCUCUAAAGCCUACACACUCAAAGGUCAGACACAUAAUGUAGUUGAGGACCUAGUUGAAGAAUGCCUGAUAUAAAUCAUAUGAGCAAUUAGGAGGAGAAGGAGGAUGGUGUAUACAUGGGAGCUCAAAGGGGCCUGCAGGUUAGGAGAUAGCCUGUCCUGAGCUCUAGCCCAACUAUUGCCCUCCAGGAAUGCAAACUGUGUCACCAGACCUUCCGAUUUUUCUGGAGACUCCUGGAUUCAGAUCCUUACAUUAAAUUUUUGUAUUUAAAAAUGAUAGGGAAUCAUUCAAAUAAAAGUUAUUAGGUGUGAAAGGAAAAUAAAUAUUAAAGCCCCCAAACACUAAGCUAAAAUGAAAGUCAAGCUGGGAACUGCCUAGGGGCAAACCUGCCUCCUAUUCUAUUCAAAGUCAUCCCUCUGCUCACUGAGAUAAAUGCAUAUCUGAUUGCCUCCUUUGGAAAGGUUAAUCAGAAACUCAAAAGAAUGCAACCAUUUGUCUCUUAUCUACCUAGAACCUGGAGGCCCCCUUCUGAAACAAGCCAAUUGUCAUCUUACAUAUAUUGAUUGAUGUCUCUUGUCUCCCUAAAAUGUAUAAAACUGGGACGUGCACAGUGGCUCACACCUGUAAACCCAGCACUUUGGGAGGCCAAGGUGAGUGGAUCACCUGAGGUCAGAAGUUUGAGACCAGCCUGGCCAACAUGGGAAAACCCCGUCUCUACUAAAAAUACAAAAAUUAGCCAGGUGUGGCGGCGGGCGCCUGUAGUCUCAGCUACUUGGGAGGCUGUGGCAGGAGAACCACUUGAACCUAGGAGGUGGAGGUUGCAGUGAGCUGAGAUCACACCACUGCACUCCAGCCAGGUGACAGAGUGAGACUCCGUCUCAAAAAAAAAAAAAAAAAAGUAUAAAACUAAGCUUUGCAUCUACCACCUUGGACACAAGUCGUCAGGACCUGCUCAGACGUAUCAUAGGUGCACAUCCUUAACUUUGGAAAAAUGAACUUCCUAAAUUGACUGUGACCUGUCCCAGAUAUUCAGGGUUCACAUAGGUAAACAAUAAUAUGUUUGGGAUCUGAAUGUAUCUCAGUGCCACUAGUUUUUGAACUCUGAUCUACAUGCUUAUUAAGCAAAUGAUAGAAUGAAUGAAUGAAUGAAUUACAUUGUUUUGAUAGUCUUGAUUGCUUAUCUCCACAGAAAUGCUGACCAAAUCCUCCUGAAAUGUUCAUACCUUAGGGUGAACUUUUAAAGUGUAACUAAAAGUCUCAGCAGGUGCAAAGGGGUAAAUUUACCUGCCAGAGUAAGUUUAUCUCUUACAUAAACGUGUUUUUUUCCCUAACACACUUGGCUACUGUGUGUAAUUCAACAUAGGUUAACCUAUUGAUUAUAGGCCAACCAAUACAAAUCCAUGGCCCAUCGCAAUGCUUACAGACAUAGGACUGUGAAAGAUUAUUAAAAAAAAAAAAAAGUAAGUCCUGCUAGGGGAAACAAAUGGAAUAGAAUUGGUGCCAAAUCUUUAGCAAACUGCUCCAUAGGCCAUAAAGGCAUGAAUAGUUUCAUGACUGUUCCAAUAGAUGUCAGCUAAGUGCCACCUGAGCUGUUCUGACAAAGCUAAAAUGGUAUGUCACAGCUUCAUGUUUCACCUACAAACUAGAACGGUGCUGAGAAAGCAUCUACCUACUAUAUAAAAGCUAAGAAAUACAUCUACUUUGAGUAAUAGAGGACAGUUGAUAUUUCAAAGGAUGGCAUACUUGGGAUACUGUCAAAUAAAAUAGCUUGGGUAACUUCCUUGUAAGAUUCCUACUCUUGCAUAGCCAAGAGGUUGACAUAUUGUAACAAAGCUUUCAUUUUAAUUACCAGUCAGAUCUCACAGGACAUUAGCAUUUAACCCAUGAACAAUGUAGCUCUUAAAAAAUGUUUCCCUUUGGGAAUACAUCAUUUAAUUCCUAGCUGACACCUUCUCUGUACUUCAUGAUAAGAGAAAUGGCAUCGCUAAUGAGCAUACUUGUACCACGUCUCGUAGGAUCUGACGCCAGCUCCCUGAUACCUCACACACGUCUCAACGUGAUGAUCCAAAUGGGUGAGGUGGCUCUGGGGAGAAGCUCUAUUUAAGGAAUCACCAUUUUUUUCUGUCAUUUUUCUGUCUUUGAGAUUAAGAAAUAUCCAUCACACAGAAAUCAUAUUGAUACCUGUGCAUGUCAAUAAUGUCUCCUCAUUAUCAGCUACCUCAACUGCACAUAUUUUGGUGUGACUGUCAAGUUUCUUGUAUUCUUUCCCAGGCUGACUGACUCAGUGUCUCAGUCCUCUCACCCCACUGUCUUUGGGAAUGUUGCUCAUAUUUUCAUCCUUACAAUAUCUUCUUUCCCUAAUCCAAUCCAAUUUCAGUGCAACAAACAUUUUGAAUGGACAUUCCAUAAAAUUUGAGUAUGACUUUCUCUUUGCUAAUUAAUUGCAUAUCUGUCAUUUAAGGUCCCACUCAAGUCUCAUGUCUUCCAUGAAGUCUCCUUCCGUGGAGCUUGAUUGUUUUCUAAGUAAUGCCUCUUAAUUCUCCCUCUCCACUGCUUCAGAAUCCAACUGAUACGUUUUCUCCUCUGGUUCUUCUGUGUUACUCAUUUAGGCUACAGGGCCUGAACUACUAUCCACUUCCUCCGUUAAAUAUUCUCUUGAUUCUACCCUCACUUGAUUUAUUUUCUCUGAUUUCUUCUCAUACUUAUAUUUAUAUUUAUAAUAUGCCUAUUUACAUAUCAACUAUAUCUAUACCUUGGUAUUUCCUUGAGAGUAGGCUAUAUCUCAUAGCUUUUCAACCCGUAAAAGGAGAAAAGAAGGUGCACAAAACAUACUAAGCAAUUAAACAAGGAAGAAAAGGAAAAGAGAAAAAAGAGUACGAGGAAGGACAAUUUUUAGAGAUUCCAGAAAUUUAAAUGUCUCUAUCAUCAAUACUAUCUGAGUCUCAUUAUUAGUCUGUCACUUCAAACUUACGUAUAAGAAAAAAUGAAAAUGGUGUUACUUGAUUCUUAGAUAAAGCCUGAGUUAAAUGUGCAUUAAGCCAUGUUCAAAUUUACUAAGGUUUUAAUUUCCAAAUUAAUUUGACAUUUUCACUAUUGCAUGUUUCCAAUGUGCAUAUUAGUCUAUAGAUUAAUUCUUGCUGUCUUGUUUAAGUAGGUUGGUUUUCAGGAUAUCACUUGUAAUACUUGGCUAGGCUAUGCAAUGAAAUUUAUGAUCCUGGUUUUCUGGGUUGAGAACAUUAAUAUUUUUAUUUAAUUUAGCUUCUGUCCCUAAAGAGUGCUCAGAAAACGAAGCACUUUUUUAAAAUUUAAGUUUAUUGCACCUAUAUUCAUCUCAUUUUAUGAGAAUAUUACAGGUCAGCAAAUUACAUUUUAGUUGCACUUUUCUAGUGUCAUAUUAUUUUCAAUAAUCAAUAAUUAUAUUAGAAGAGAUGUAUAACUAAUUUUUUAUUUGAGGAGGUAAAGGAAUGUUUCAAAUGUAUUGGAUAAAAACUUAGUUCGGCUGACAUUUGUUAAGUUCUUGGCCUGAUUAAACAUAGCAGCUGUCAGUUUCACAAAAGGAGAAAUGAACAUUGAAUAUAUUUGAAACUGCCUAGAGUGUGGCAUUAAUAACAUUUUUCUUCUUUGUUUGCUUUUAAACGGUUUUUUGCUCAAAAAGCUGGAAAAGACAAGUGUUCUGAUGACAGGUUUGUAAAGGGUUGCUAAUUGUGUGGUUGAUAACAGUGUGGCAUUUUUUUUUUUUUUUACAUUAGAGCCUUAGAGUCUCCUACUGAGAUAAUACCAUCAUUCAAGUCUUCUUGAUUGCCAUAUGUUUAAAGAGCUCACUAUAGUUCUGGAUCCUGCUUUUUGAAUGUUAUAUGAAAUGAAACUGGGUCCUGGGUUACACAUUUCUACAAAUUGGUAAAUUUGUUAGUCUAUUUUCCAUGCUACAUUUAUUAUCUCUCUUACUAUUUUCAUUUAUAGUACUUGAAUUUGACAUGAAGAAAUACAUUUAUAAAAUUCUAUUCUGAGGAUCUAGGAGUUUGAUUAUAUGCAUUUGCUCCCAAAAUUUCAGUAAAGUCAUCACAUUACCUUUACACUAAAAUAAUUCCAAAGAUAAAUUAAGUAAAGUAUCUACUGGCUGAGAGGAGGGCCUUUUUGGUCUGUUUGGUAUUGCUAUAACAGAAUAACUGAGACUGACUA